rnacentral:rRNA from 1 species
AUUAAGUUUAAUUUAAUAUAGGAUCUGCUCAAUGAUUAUAAAUUAAAUAGCUGCAGUAUUUUGACUGUGCAAAGGUAGCAUAAUAAUUAGUCUUUUAAUUGAGGACUUGAAUGAAAGAUUUGAUGAGAAAUAAACUUUAUUAUUUAUAUUAUUAAAAUUUUAUUUUUAAGUAAAAAAGCUUAAAUUUUUUUAAGGGACGAUAAGACCCUAUAAAACUUUAUAAAUUUAAUUUUUUUAAAUUUUUGGUUUUAUAAUAAAUUUAUAAUUUUAAAUUUAUUUUAUUGGGGUGAUAAAAAAAAUAAAUUAACUUUUUUUAAAUAUUAACAUUAAUUAAUGAUUUUUUGAAUUAAAUUUUUUAAUUAUAAGAAAAAGUUACUUUAGGGAUAACAGCGUAAUUAAUUUUUUAAGUUCAAAUUUGAAAAUUAGAUUGCGACCUCGAUGUUGAAUUAAGAUUAAUCUUAGGUGCAAAAUUUUAAGUUUUAGGUCUGUUCGACCUUUAAAUUCUUAC